CAGUGGUUGCCCUUUAACCCUGUGUGCUUGUCUUUGACAGGUGUCACCUGUGGGCACCACUCAGGGGCACCUGUGAGGCAGGGGACGCGGCGGCCCGUUUGAGGUUCCCAGCGUGGGCUCUGCGCACCGGGCCCUGCUCUGUGCCAGCCUGGCCCCGUCUGCCCACCUCCCGGGCCCUCCUGUCCGAUGGGAAGCAGAGCCGCAUCCCCGCCGAAUCCCCCCACACGGCUGGGCUGGGGCAGCAGGAGGAAUGAUGUGCUCGCGCUCCGAGGGCUCGGGAAGGCGUUGCCUUGGGCGCCCGGAAGUCACGUCCACCAGACGCACUGUCAGGCCUGUAUCUCUCAGCAUCACUGUUGAGACAGAAGCGUUCAGCUGAACCUGUUUUCCGUGCUGCACACACACAGAACCUCUCGUCUUUCUGGGGCCCCCACCCUCGAGGAGCUGCAUAUCUGCACCGCAGAGGAGGUGCCCACGCCGCCCUGCAUCUGUCCCAGGUGAGAGGGGGAGACCCGCCCUCUGAAGGUGCAGCGGCUCCAGGCGUGAGCUGGGGCGCACAGCCGCAGCCCAGGAGGCGUGGAGCAGGGGCCCAGACACCGCGUUCUCUGCCUGCACCCACCGGGGCCUCCGUCCGCCUGGGUUGGGCUCUUGAGCUAGCUUUCCCCGCCUGGGGGGUUUAUUUCUGACAAGCAUGUGAGCUCAAAGGGAGGCCCCAGCCAGCUCUCCCUCCCUCGAGGAGGCUUCCUGCCUCGGCAGGUCGGCUGGCCCUUUACCCACUGUGGUCAGCCAGGCCUGCUGCUGCCUCUGGGCCCAAGGUCGCUGUUGGCUGCGGGAGCACCCGUGUGGGGUGGGAGUGGUUCUAAGGACCUAACGUGUCCUUCCCACCUGGCAGGGCCCCGGGGGCGGUCCUGGCUGUCCGGCUCCCUUGCAGCUCCGGUCCACGGGCUCGGCCUUGAUGGGUUCGGUGCAGAUGCCUCAAGUGGCCGGGGCCCUGCUGCCUCGGCCCCUGCAGGUCGUGGCUCAGCCAGGAGUGCUCGGCCCCUGAGUCUGCAGCAUCCCAACCUCCGUGGGGUGAGCACGCUCCCCGCCUCCCUCCCUGCCUCCCUCUGUGCACAGAGCGUGGGCCUUCCCUCAGAAGCCAGACCCUAAUGAAGGCUUUGUCUUGGUGGCAGACAACUGUCUCCAUCUUGAUCCCCGCUUUUCCUGUCUCACCGCGGUGUGAGGCGGGAGUUCAGGCAGGUCCCUGGGAAUCCAGUGUUUCUCGGUUUCAUCCUCAAGGACCCACCCCCUCCGCACCCAGCAUGCGCUGUCCUUGGUCCUGCCUGGCACGGCCUGGGCCCUGCGUCUCCGGGAUUUGCCAGAAAAUAGUCUCAAAAGGUCCCUGUCACUCCUUCCUUGUUACACUGAUGAAGGUGAGGCUUUGAUCUCUGAACUAGGCCUUUUGUCCUCAGUUACGUGCAGCUGAGUUUCAUCUGUUACAUCAUCUAUGUGCAUAAUUGAGGGUCAAGGAAAGAAGGAAGGGGCUUUGCAAGACUGCUGGGGACCCUGAGGAGCCCCCCGAGCACCCGGUGGCCUCCCCUCCUAGGGGGCCGUCACCAUGAGCCUUGGUGUCACCUGAAGCCGGGCCGUCUGGGUGGCCAGUCUCGGAGCCACUGUGGGAGUGCAGGGAGCCUCCACCGCCAGCCCUGCACCACGCGGGGCCUCCCCGGCCCGUGUCUUUCUGCUGGACGUGGAUGCCAGGCGUCCGAAGGACUGGGUUCUGGGAAGAUCUAGAUAUAGCAGCGCAGCCACUGUGGGCAGCCAGGCGGUGGCAGAGCCAGCCCAGGGACGCCGGCCGGCGCGAGGGCCGUGGCUACUACGCUUGCCUAAAGAUGGCAAAAGAACCAAAAAGGCCCCCCAGCCCCAGUCAGAUGUCUUUCCAAGUGACAGCCCUUAAUUAAAUGUAUUUUAAAAGCUGCUUUCACCAUCCAAGAAGGUAGGAAAUGUAUUUUGAGUAAUACGAGCUUAUUGAAAUAAACUCUCAUAACUUAAAAUCUGGGAAGGACAGUAAAUGUAUCCCUCAAGUGUUCCUAAAUCAGCUCGUCUGCGUCCCUGAGCAGAGUGGGCAACAUGCUUGUUCCAAACUAUCCGGAAUGACCCUUAGAGACCACGGGCUUCGUCUUUGGGGCAGU